AGGGCUUCUGCUUCAGGAAACCCCUGAGUGGGAGGUUUCUCAGGAGAUCGCACAGGAGCCGGUCCAUGGCGCCCCCUGCUCCAUCUCCCUGCAGGAGGGGCAGGAGCCCCACACCAGCAACAGAGCCCAGGGCAGGCUCAGGGGGGAAAACGUGUCCACAGGGGACAGGAAUGAGACCUGCAUGGUGUGGAGCGUCCAGGCAGGCAGGCUGGAGAAGCUGGUGGGAAACCUGGUGCCUGCCUUCCUGGGCGGGGCCCCCUCCGACCUCCCCACAUUCCUGGGCACCUACAGGGCUUCCCCUACCACCCAGCAGAUGCUGGACCUUCUCUCCACAAGGUGUGUCCUCAGGACAGUCCAUGUGACGCCUUCCUGGCCUCCUCUAGUUAUGGAUGCAUCCUCCCUUACUCUGAUGAGGACGGUGGACCCCUGCACCAGCUGAAAAUGGCCGUGUCCUCCAUGCUGGGCACCUGGCUGCACCAUUACCCUGAGCAUUUCCACCAGCCCCCAGAAUUUCCCCGCCUGAAGAUGCUUCUGGCUUACACAGAGCUCAGCAUGCCUGGCUCAGACCUGGAGCAGCAAGCCUGCCUUCUCCUGGCACAGCUGGAGCACCUGGAGCCCCCUGAGGCAGAG